CAGCAGCCGCGGUAAUACGGAGGGGGCUAGCGUUGUUCGGAAUUACUGGGCGUAAAGGGCGCGUAGGCGGUUCGGUAAGUUAGGCGUGAAAGGCCUGGGCUCAACCCGGGAACUGCGCUUAAGACUGUCGGGCUGUGAGUCCGGGAGAGGAUGGCGGAAUUCCCAGUGUAGAGGUGAAAUUCGUAGAUAUUGGGAAGAACACCAGUGGCGAAGGCGGCCAUCUGGCCCGGUACUGACGCUGAGGCGCGAAAGCGUGGGGAGCAAACAGGAUUAGAUACCCUGGUAGUCCACGCCGUAAACGAUGAGUGCUAGACGUUGGCGAGCAUGCUCGUCAGUGUCGCAGCUAACGCGAGAAGCACUCCGCCUGGGGAGUACGGCCGCAAGGUUAAAACUCAAAGGAAUUGACGG
rnacentral:rRNA from 1 species